CGGAGUGUAGCGCAGCCUGGUAGCGCACUUGCAUGGGGUGCAAGGGGUCGCGAGUUCGAAUCCCGCCACUCCGACCA
rnacentral:tRNA from 1 species